rnacentral:miRNA from 1 species
UCACCGGGAGCAGAGUGGCUAC